rnacentral:rRNA from 1 species
UACGAAGGGGGCUAGCGUUGCUCGGAAUUACUGGGCGUAAAGGGAGCGUAGGCGGAUAGUUCAGUCAGAGGUGAAAGCCCAGGGCUCAACCUUGGAAUUGCCUUUGAUACUGGCUGUCUUGAGUAUGGGAGAGGUUAGCGGAACUCCGAGUGUAGAGGUGAAAUUCGUAGAUAUUCGGAAGAACACCAGUGGCGAAGGCGGCUAACUGGCCCAUUACUGCCGCUGAGGCUCGAAAGCGUGGGGAGCAAACAGG